rnacentral:rRNA from 1 species
AGGACGAACGCUGGCGGCGUGCUUAACACAUGCAAGUCGAGCGGUAAGGCCUUUCGGGGUGCACGAGCGGCGAACGGGUGAGCAACACGUGGGUGAUCUGCCCUGCACUUCGGGAUAAGCCUGGGAAACUGGGUCUAAUACCGGAUAUGACCUCCUAUCGCAUGGUGGGUGGUGGAAAGAUUUAUCGGUGCAGGAUGGGCCCGCGGUCUAUCAGCUUGUUGGUGGGGUAAUGGCCUACCAAGGCGACGACGGGUAGCCGACCUGAGAGGGUGACCGGCCACACUGGGACUGAGACACGGCCCAGACUCCUACGGGAGGCAGCAGUGGGGAAUAUUGCACAAUGGGCGAAAGCCUGAUGCAGCGACGCCGCGUGAGGAUGACGGCCUUCGGGUUGUAAACCGUCUUUCAGCAGGGACGAAGCGCAAGUGACGGUACCUGCAGAAGAAGCACCGGCUAACUACGUGCCAGCAGCCGC